GCAUGGCCCUAGCUGCCGCCCCCUACCUGGGGCCCCACAGUAGGGGGACGGCAAGAGACUCCUUCCUUCUCCUUCAGAUGAAGUCUAUUGUACAAUUUCAGAAAGGAGGGAGACUCAUUUCAGGAUUGGCAGAAUCCUCUCCAGAUUAGCUCCCUCAGGGUCUGGACUCAGAAGUUUGUCACUUACAAGAAAGGAGAUAGGACUGGUGGAGGGGGUAGUAGAAUCGAGUGCUGCCAAUGAUACCAAAAAAGGAAAGGAAAAAGCACCAAUGACACAUUUUUAAAAUGCACAGAAGAAAACAGAAGGGAGUUCAGAGGGAGAAUGAGAUA